rnacentral:rRNA from 1 species
GACGAACGCUGGCGGCGUGCUUAACACAUGCAAGUCGAGCGGUAAGGCCCUUUCGGGGGUACACGAGCGGCGAACGGGUGAGUAACACGUGGGUGACCUGCCCUCAGCUCUGGGAUAAGCCUGGGAAACUGGGUCUAAUACUGGAUAUGACUCCACGGUGCAUGUCGUGGGGUGGAAAGCCUUGUGCGGCUGAGGAUGGGCCCGCGGCCUAUCAGCUUGUUGGGGGGUGAUGGCCUACCAAGGCGACGACGGGUAGCCGGCCUGAGAGGGCGACCGGCCACACUGGGACUGAGACACGGCCCAGACUCCUACGGGAGGCAGCAGUGGGGAAUAUUGCGCAAUGGACGAAAGUCUGACGCAGCGACGCCGCGUGUGGGAUGACGGUCUUCGGAUUGUAAACCUCUUU